AAAAGGCGGAUGCGGACGGAUAGACGCCGGACGGACGGACGGACGGAUGAAAGGGUAAAAUGCGGACGGUAUCAUCCGUCCGUCCGCAUUUGACCCUAUCAUCCGUUCGUCCGUCCGGCGUCUAUCCGUCUGCAUCCGCGUUUUACCUAAC
rnacentral:miRNA from 1 species